GUAGGUGGCAAGCGUUGUCCGGAAUUAUUGGGCGUAAAGCGCGCGCAGGCGGUUCUUUAAGUCUGAUGUGAAAGCCCAGGGCUCAACCGUGGAGGGUCAUUGGAAACUGGAGAACUUGAGUACAGAAGAGGAAAGCGGAAUUCCACGUGUAGCGGUGAAAUGCGUAGAGAUGUGGAGGAACACCAGUGGCGAAGGCGGCUUUCUGGUCUGUAACUGACGCUGAGGCGCGAAAGCGUGGGGAGCAAACAGGGAUUAGAUACCCUGGUAGUCCACGCCGUAAACGAUGAGUGCUAAGUGUUAGGGGGUUUCCGCCCCCUUAGUGCUGCAGCUAACGCAUUAAGCACUCCGCCUGGGGAUACGGCCGCAAGGCUG
rnacentral:rRNA from 1 species